GCGAGCAUCUGCCAAGGAUGUUUUCAUUAAUCAAGAACGAAAGUUAGGGGAUCGAAGACGAUCAGAUACCGUCGUAGUCUUAACCAUAAACGAUGCCGACCAGCGAUUAGGAGACGUUGAAUACAAAACACCACCAUCGGUGCGGUCGUCCUUGGCGUCGGUUUCGGCCGGCGCGGGGGCGGCUUAGCCCGGUGGCACCGGUGAAUGACUCCCCU
rnacentral:rRNA from 1 species